rnacentral:misc_RNA from 1 species
GAUGAAGAACGCAGCGAAAUGCGAUAAGUAAUGUGAAUUGCAGAAUCCAGUGAAUCAUCGAAUCUUUGAACGCACAUUGCGCCCGCCAACAUUCUGGCGGGCAUGCCUGUUCGAGCGUCAUUUCAACCCUCGACCUCCCUUUGGGGAAGUCGGCGUUGGGGACCGGCAGCACACCGCCGGCCCUGAAAUGGAGUGGCGGCCCGUCCGCGGCGACCUCUGCGUAGUAAUCCAACUCGCACCGGAACCCCGACGCGGCCACGCCGUAAAACACCCAACUUCUGAACGUUGACCUCGAAUCAGGUAGGACUACCCGCUGAACUUAAGCAUAUCAAUAAGCGGAGGA